GUUCACUAUGGCAGCACAUAUACUAAACUUGGGAUCAUACAGAGAAGAUUAGCAUGGUUCCUGCGCGCAAGGAUGACUGGCAAAUUUGGCGAAGCGUUCCACAUUUAA
rnacentral:snRNA from 1 species